CCUACGGGAGGCUGCAGUGGGGAAUAUUGGGCAAUGGGGGAAACCCUGACCCAGCAACGCCGCGUGAAGGAAGAAGGCCUUCGGGUUGUAAACUUCUGUUAGCAGGGACGAAGGAAGUGACGGUACCUGCAGAGGAAGCACCGGCUAACUACGUGCCAGCAGCCGCGGUAAUACGUAGGGUGCAAGCGUUGUCCGGAAUUACUGGGUGUAAAGGGCGUGUAGGCGGAGAUGCAAGUUGGGAGUGAAAUCCAUGGGCUUAACCCAUGAACUGCUCUCAAAACUGUAUCCCUUGAGUAUCGGAGAGCCAAGCGGAAUUCCUAGUGUAGCGGUGAAAUGCGUAGAUAUUAGGAGGAACACCAGUGGCGAAGGCGGCUUGCUGGACUGUAACUGACGCUGAGGCUCGAAAGCGUGGGGAGCAAACAGGAUUAGAUACCCCGGUAGUC
rnacentral:rRNA from 1 species